ACGGGGCCCGCACAAGCGGAGGAACAUGUGGUUAAUUCGAUGAUACGCGAGGAACCUUACCUGGGCUUAAAUGUAGAGUGCAUUUUUAGAGAUAGAAAUUCCCUUCGGGGCUUUCUGCAAGGUGCUGCAUGGUUGUCGUCAGCUCGUGCCGUGAGGUGUCGGGUUAAGUCCCAUAACGAGCGCAACCCUUAUCGUUAGUUGCCAUCUGGUAAUGCAGGGGACUCUAGCGAAACUGCCACCGUAAGGUGAGAGGAAGGUGGGAUGACGUCAAAUCAGCACGGCCCUUAUGUCCAGGGCUACACACGUGUUACAAUGGUCGGUACAGAGGGCAGCUACCUGGUGACAGGAUGCUAAUCUCGAAAACCGGUCUCAGUUCGGAUCGAAGUCUGCAACUCGACUUCGUGAAGCUGGAUUCGCUAGUAAUCGCGCAUCAGCUAUGGCGCGGUGAAUACGUUCCCGGGCCUU
rnacentral:rRNA from 1 species